rnacentral:rRNA from 1 species
CCUACGGGUGGCAGCAGUGAGGAAUAUUGGUCAAUGGCCGCAGGGCUGAACCAGCCAAGUCGCGUGAGGGAUGACGGUCCUAUGGAUUGUAAACCUCUUUUGUCAGGGAGCAAAGGGCGCCACGUGUGGCGUUUUGCGAGUACCUGAAGAAAAAGCAUCGGCUAACUCCGUGCCAGCAGCCGCGGUAAUACGGAGGAUGCGAGCGUUAUCCGGAUUUAUUGGGUUUAAAGGGUGCGCAGGCGGGCAUUUAAGCCGGCGGUCAAAUGUCGGGGCUCAACCCCGGCCUGCCGUCGGAACUGGGUGCCUUGAGUGGGCGAGAAGUAUGCGGAAUGCGUGGUGUAGCGGUGAAAUGCAUAGAUAUCACGCAGAACCCCGAUUGCGAAGGCAGCAUACCGGCGCCCUACUGACGCUGAGGCACGAAAGUGCGGGUAUCGAACAGGAUUAGAUACCCCAGUAGUC